rnacentral:rRNA from 1 species
UGGCGGUCUGCUUAACACAUGCAAGUCGAACGAACUCCUCGGAGUGAGUGGCGGACGGGUGAGUAACGCGUGAGAAUCUGCCUGUGGGUCGGGGACAACCACUGGAAACGGUGGCUAAUACCGGAUGAGCCGAAAGGUAAAAAAUUUAUUGCCCACAGAUGAGCUCGCGUCUGAUUAGCUAGUUGGUAAGGUAAAAGCGUACCAAGGCGACGAUCAGUAGCUGGUCUGAGAGGAUGAGCAGCCACACUGGGACUGAGACACGGCCCAGACUCCUACGGGAGGCAGCAGUGGGGAAUUUUCCGCAAUGGGCGAAAGCCUGACGGAGCAAGACCGCGUGGGGGAGGAAGGUUUUUGGAUCGUAAACCCCUUUUGUCAAGGAAGAAGUUCUGACGGUACUUGACGAAUAAGCCUCGGCUAACUCCGUGCCAGCAGCCGCGGUAAUACGGAGGAGGCAAGCGUUAUCCGGAAUGAUUGGGCGUAAAGCGUCUGUAGGUGGCCAGCUAAGUCUGCUGUUAAAGAUCACAGCUCA